GACGGAGGGUGCGAGCGUUAUUCGGAUUUAUUGGGCGUAAAGAGUGUGUAGGCGGUCGGUCAAGUCCGAUGUGAAAGCCCGGGGCUUAACCUCGGAAGUGCGUUGGAAACUGGUCGACUUGAGUUCGGGAGAGGAAAGCGGAAUUCCGGGUGUAGAGGUGAAAUUCGUAGAUAUCCGGAGGAACACCGGUGGCGAAGGCGGCUUUCUGGACCGAAACUGACGCUGAGACACGAAAGCGUGGGGAGCAAACAGG
rnacentral:rRNA from 1 species